rnacentral:rRNA from 1 species
AGUGAACGCUGGCGGUAGGCCUAACACAUGCAAGUCGAACGGCAGCACAGUAAGAGCUUGCUCUUACGGGUGGCGAGUGGCGGACGGGGGGGGAAUACAUCGGAAUCUACUUUUUCGUGGGGGAUAACGUAGGGAAACUUACGCUAAUACCGCAUACGCCCUCCGGGUGAAAGCAGGGGAUCUUCGGACCUUGCGCGAUUGAAGGGACCGAGGUCGGAUUAGCUAGUUGGCGGGGUAAAGGCCCACCAAGGCGACGAUCCGUAGCUGGUCUGGAGGGAUGAUCAGCCACACUGGAACUGAGACACGGUCCAGACUCCUACGGGAGGCAGCAGUGGGGAAUAUUGGACAAUGGGCGCAAGCCUGAUCCAGCCAUACCGCGUGGGUGAAGAAGGCCUUCGGGUUGUAAAGCCCUUUUGUUGGGAAAGAAAAGCAGCAGGUUAAUACCCCGCUGUUCUGACGGUACCCAAAGAAUAAGCACCGGCUAACUUCGUG